UACGAAGGGGACUAGCGUUGUUCGGAAUUACUGGGCGUAAAGCGCACGUAGGCGGAUUUGUAAGUCAGGGGUGAAAUCCCGGGGCUCAACCUCGGAACUGCCUUUGAUACUGCAAAUCUCGAGUCCGAUAGAGGUGGGUGGAAUUCCUAGUGUAGAGGUGAAAUUCGUAGAUAUUAGGAAGAACACCAGUGGCGAAGGCGGCUCACUGGUCCGGUACUGACGCUGAGGCGCGAAAGCGUGGGGAGCAAACAGG
rnacentral:rRNA from 1 species